rnacentral:rRNA from 1 species
CUAGUAACGGCGAGUGAAGCGGCAACAGCUCAAAUUUGAAAUCUGGCCCUAGCGGUCCGAGUUGUAAUUUGUAGAGGAUGCUUUUGGUUAGGUGCCUUCUGAGUUCCCUGGAACGGGACGCCAGAGAGGGUGAGAGCCCCGUACGGUUGGACACCGAGCCUCUAUAUAGCUCCUUCGACGAGUCGAGUAGUUUGGGAAUGCUGCUCUAAAUGGGAGGUAAAUUUCUUCUAAAGCUAAAUACCGGCCAGAGACCGAUAGCGCACAAGUAGAGUGAUCGAAAGAUGAAAAGUACUUUGAAAAGAGGGUUAAAUAGCACGUGAAAUUGUUGAAAGGGAAGCGUUUGCGACCAGACUUUUUCCAGGCGGAUCAUCCGGUGUUCUCACCGGUGCACUUCGCCUGGUUUAGGCCAGCAUCGGUUCUCUUAGGGGGAUAAAGGCCUGGGGAACGUAGCUCCUUCGGGAGUGUUAUAGCCCCUAGCGUAAUACCCUUCGGGGGACCGAGGAACGCG